UACGGAGGAUGCAAGCGUUAUCCGGAAUGAUUGGGCGUAAAGCGUCCGCAGGUGGCUAUGUAAGUCUGCUGUUAAAGAGUGAGGCUCAACCUCAUAAGAGCAGUGGAAACUACAUGGCUAGAGUGCGUUCGGGGCAGAGGGAAUUCCUGGUGUAGCGGUGAAAUGCGUAGAGAUCAGGAAGAACACCGGUGGCGAAAGCGCUCUGCUAGGCCGCAACUGACGCUCAUGGACGAAAGCUAGGGGAGCGAAUGGG
rnacentral:rRNA from 1 species